UUUUUAGAGACAGAGUUCUCUCUGUGUUUCCCAAUCUGGUCCCGAACUCCUAGGGUCAAGCAGUCCUCUUGCCUCAGCCUCCCAAAGUGCUGGGACUACAGGCAUGAGCCACUAUACCCAGCCUACCAUCAAUUAUUCGCUUGCUAUUAACUGUAUACUGUUGACUGUGGGUCAGUUGCACAGAUCCUGAAAUCUCAUUCUAUAUUUGCCUGUCAUCUUAGAGAGCAGCCAGCUCAUUACCAUUUAUUAGGUCAUAAUAUGGAUAUUUUCACAAGGUUCUUAGGUAUUUUUAAGUGCCAAAUAAAAGCCAUCAUCCCGAUGUGCAAGUGCCAGAUGAAAGGGUUUGGAUGGUCACAAACAACAUUAGGCCCUUGAAGUCUCAUCCAUUUGAAUAUGAAGCUUGUUUGGCCCAGUCUGUGUAUAUGUGCCUGGCCAGAAUGAGAGCCCAGUCAGGGAAGCCACUUUUCCCACUCACCAAAAAAAAAAAAAAAAAAAA